rnacentral:rRNA from 1 species
GAGACAGCAGUCGCCGCGGGAAUACGUAGGUCCCGAGCGUUGUCCGGAUUUAUUGGGCGUAAAGCGAGCGCAGGCGGUUAGAUAAGUCUGAAGUUAAAGGCUGUGGCUUAACCAUAGUACGCUUUGGAAACUGUUUAACUUGAGUGCAAGAGGGGAGAGUGGAAUUCCAUGUGUAGCGGUGGAAUGCGUAGAUAUAUGGAGGAACACCGGUGGCGAAAGCGGCUCUCUGGCUUGUAACUGACGCUGAGGCUCGAAAGCGUGGGGAGCAAACAGGAUUAGAUACCCCAGUAGUCCCUGUCUCUUAUACA